AGAUAAGUAAACAUGAUGUGCCUUUGGAACAUUGGAUGAAUGGUUGCUGACAAUGGGCAACGUAGAUAUUGUGUUAAAGAUCAACCACGUCUUUC